AACGAACGCUGGCGGCAGGCCUAACACAUGCAAGUCGAACGUGAAGCCACCUUCGGGUGGUGGAAAGUGGCAGACGGGUGAGUAACGCGUGGGAACGUGCCUUUCGGUUCGGAAUAACCCAGGGAAACUUGGGCUAAUACCGGAUACGCCCUUCGGGGGAAAGAUUCAUCGCCGAAAGAUCGGCCCGCGUCGGAUUAGCUAGUUGGUAGGGUAAUGGCCUACCAAGGCGACGAUCCGUAGCUGGUCUGAGAGGAUGACCAGCCACACUGGGACUGAGACACGGCCCAGACUCCUACGGGAGGCAGCAGUGGGGAAUAUUGGACAAUGGGCGAAAGCCUGAUCCAGCCAGGCCGCGUGGGUGAAGAAGGCCCUAGGGUUGUAAACCCCUUUCAGCGGGGAAGAUAAUGACGGUACCCGCAGAAGAAGCCCCGGCUAACUCCGUGCCAGCCGCCGCGGUAA
rnacentral:rRNA from 1 species